CAGUAGCCACGGUAAUACGAAGGGGGCUAGCGUUGCUCGGAAUUACUGGGCGUAAAGCGAGCGCAGGCGGUUAGAUAAGUCUGAUGUGAAAGCCCCCGGCUCAACCGGGGAGGGUCAUUGGAAACUGGGAAACUUGAGUGCAGAAGAGGAGAGUGGAAUUCCACGUGUAGCGGUGAAAUGCGUAGAGAUGGGGAGGAACACCAGUGGCGAAGGCGACUCUCUGGUCUGUAACUGACGCUGAGGAGCGAAAGCGUGGGGAGCGAACAGGAUUAGAGACCCCGGUAGUCCCUGUCUCUUAUAC
rnacentral:rRNA from 1 species